UUGACGUCCAUGCGUGUCACAUGUUCCUCUACUAAGUGUCGAGUGUUAGCAAAUAAUUGAUGCAACCAAGCAUGAUCAACUUUACUUUCACGAGGUUUGGGCUGUGUGCUUUCAUUAUGUUUACCGUCUUUGUCCACUCCUUGCCAAUACGUCGCAACUAUCCUGAGUUUUGUAACAUGGAUAACAAGCACAUAGUGAGGAAACCAAUGGUGGGAGAGAACCUAACAAUCGGCGUGUGUGUCUGGGCAAUUAUAGAGCCCACUUUCCCGAUGGUGCAAGUCAAUAAUGUAACAUACAAAGCUAACAAUUAUUCAAGUCCAAAAUUUGAUUUUCAUGUCGACUACCCAAUAGAUUAUCAGAUUACAUUUCAUUUGAGGUUCAAAAAUAUUUCCGAGUCUGACUAUCAAACUUACAAAGUAAAACUAAUAACAGGGGUAGGAAAAUAUGUGACAUCAAGCAUUGAGUUUCUGAAAGACGACACUACACAAGGCACACCCUAUUAUAUUUGGAUUGCUAUUGCGGCGGCAAUAGUUGCUUUAUGUUUAGUAUGUGGUUGCUGUGCUUACUGUUACGAUAAAUGCGAUAACAGGGAUGGGUAUACGUCUUUAUCAAAAAACGGUUGUACAUUCGAAGAUUUAAUGGACUGCUUGAUGUGUAUAUUUUGUGUAGUGAAAUGUUUAUUUUGAUCACUACUGAGUCAGCCAUUGGCAAAUCUAUACAGAAACUAGGAUCUUACAUGUUUUGUAUUGUAGUUUGGUAUGAAAGUCUGAAUGAAAUUUCUGCGUGAUGCAAACACGCGUUAUGGUGUUAUUUAUUUCACUCAAAUACAUCUUGCUUAUACCUUGAAUUUGUG